UACGUAGGUGGCAAGCGUUGUCCGGAAUUAGCUGGGCGUAAAGGCUCGUAGGCGCCAACUAAGUCAGACGUGAAAUCCCUCGGCUUAACCGGGGAACUGCGUCUGAUACUGGAUGGCUUGAGUGUGGGAGAGGGAUGCGGAAUUCCAGGUGUAGCGGUGAAAUGCGUAGAUAUCUGGAGGAACACCGGUGGCGAAGGCGGCAUCCUGGAGCCACGACUGACGCGUGAGUGAGCGAAAGCCAGGGGAGCAAAGCGGGGAUUAGC
rnacentral:rRNA from 1 species